CAAUAACACUUUGAUCAACUUUUAACAUAGAGAUUUCGACUCGAUAAACCUUGACACAAGCAGAUGUGCUUACUGUGAAAUAGCUGAAUAUUUGCUUAAAUAAGCUAGAUUUUUCUAUGGAAUCUUGAGUGUUUUAAAUUAUUUUACCUUUAACAAUUUUUGAGAGUUUCUAUUUUCAAAGAAUUGACGGGAGUAUCUGGCGAGUUGGCCGUCGUACCAAAUACUGUCCAAGGACACAUUAUGGGCAUUUAUUUCAGAGAGAAUCAAAACCAUCCUUAAUCUUGUUAUCGGAAUCCCAGAUUUGCGGACUUCAGACCAAUGUUCUACUGACCUAACGGGAAACUCUAUUGGCUGCAACCGGAAACUGUAUAGGCAGACUAAGCCUUGUACGAGGGG
rnacentral:lncRNA from 1 species